AUUGAACGCUGGCGGCAUGCCUUACACAUGCAAGUCGAACGGUAACGGGCCUUCGGGUGCCGACGAGUGGCGAACGGGUGAGUAAUACAUCGGAACGUGCCCGAUCGUGGGGGAUAACGAGGCGAAAGCUUUGCUAAUACCGCAUACGAUCUACGGAUGAAAGCAGGGGACCGCAAGGCCUUGCGCGGACGGAGCGGCCGAUGGCAGAUUAGGUAGUUGGUGGGAUAAAAGCUUACCAAGCCGACGAUCUGUAGCUGGUCUGAGAGGAUGAUCAGCCACACUGGGACUGAGACACGGCCCAGACUCCUACGGGAGGCAGCAGUGGGGAAUUUUGGUCAAUGGGCGCAAGCCUGAUCCAGCCAUGCCGCGUGCAGGAUGAAGGCCUUCGGGUUGUAAACUGCUUUUGUACGGAACGAAAAGCCUUCUUUUAAUACAGGAGGGUCAUGACGGUACCGUAAGAAUAAGCACCGGCUAACUACGUG
rnacentral:rRNA from 1 species